rnacentral:rRNA from 1 species
UACAGAGGUCUCAAGCGUUACGCGGAUUCGUUCGGGCUUAAAGGGUGCGUAGGCGGGACCGCAAGUGGUUUGUGAAAUGCCACAGCUUAACUGUGGCAUUGCUUUGCAGACUGCGGGCCUUGAGGUCGGUAGGGGUCACCGGAACGCUAGGUGGAGCGGUGAAAUGCGUAGAUAUCUAGCGGAACGCCAAAGGCGAAGGCAGGUGACUGGGCCGAUUCUGACGCUGAGGCACGAAAGCGUGGGUAGCGAACGGG